AUUGCAUUCGAUACUGGGAAGUUAGAGUAUGGGAGAGGAUGGUAGAAUUCCAGGUGUAGCGGUGAAAUGUGUAGAGAUCUGGAGGAAUACCGAUGGCGAAGGCAGCCAUCUGGCCUAAUACUGACGCUGAGGUACGAAAGCAUGGGGAGCAAACAGGAUUAGAUACCNUGGUAGUCCAUGCCGUAAACGAUGUCUACUAGCCGUUGGGGCCUUUGAGGCUUUAGUGGCGCAGCUAACGCGAUAAGUAGACCGCCUGGGGAGUACGGUCGCAAGACUAAAACUCAAAUGAAUUGACGGGGGCCCGCACAAGCGGUGGAGCAUGUGGUUUAAUUCGAUGCAACGCGAAGAACCUUACCUGGUCUUGACAUAGUAAGAACUUUCCAGAGAUGGAUUGGUGCCUUCGGGAACUUACAUACAGGUGCUGCAUGGCUGUCGUCAGCUCGUGUCGUGAGAUGUUGGGUUAAGUCCCGCAACGAGCGCAACCCUUUUCCUUAUUUGCCAGCGGGUUAAGCCGGGAACUUUAAGGAUACUGCCAGUGACAAACUGGAGGAAGGCGGGGACGACGUCAAGUCAUCAUGGCCCUUACGACCAGGGCUACACACGUGCUACAAUGGUCGGUACAAAGGGUUGCUACCUAGCGAUAGGAUGCUAAUCUCAAAAAGCCGAUCGUAGUCCGGAUUGGAGUCUGCAACUCGACUCCAUGAAGUCG
rnacentral:rRNA from 1 species